CAGGUGCUGUUAGACUUAGCUCGUGUGAUAUUUGAAGAGCAGAGUAAUGUGGCCAACCUGAUAUACAAGAUUAUGAUGCAUACCCAGUCCCUAUUACAGUGUGCUCGAUGUCAGGUCAUGCUCAUUGAUGACAUAAACGUGGUAAAGUUUUAUUUAUUUAAUUGUUGAGUGUGUUAAAGUUUCAAGUGGUAGGUAUUGAAUUAAGACUACCAUUUCUUUACCGAUGACACUUGUAUUUAAAAAAUGACCCUAAAAAAAAAGAUUUUCCUUGUGUCUUCAUUUCAUAAUAGCAUUGGGUUUCAAAAUAAUUACAUGUAAGAGUUCCAGAAAUUGUAUAGCUUUGUAUUUUUAUGAUAAUUGAACCAGGACAGUUUUGAUUUGACCAUAUGCAACAUGAUAAUUUGCACCAAACAAAUGGGAAAGAAGUUUAACAUGGAUAUAAACAGUGAUAUUAGACUAUAAUUAAAGAGACACACUUAAUAUGAGAUAUUUCUUAUGAAAGAUAUAUAUUUCUGAUUCAACUGGGGUAUAAAACUGAUUUGAAAGUAUAAGUUUAUAUGGUUUUACUCAUUGUUGAAGGCCAUAAAGUGACCUAUAGUUAAUAAUUUCUGUAUCAUUUGGUCUCCUGUGGAGAGUUGUCUAUUUGGCAAUUCAUACCACAUCUUCUUAUUUUUAAAUUCAAAAUGUUUGAUUUCCCCCAUAUGUUAUUAGCAUUGUAGAUAAAGCAGAUGCUUUGAUUGAGCUCUCUGAUAACAGUGAAGUAGCACUUGUUUAUUUUUAUAAUUUUGCAUAUUUUUUUCCAUUGCAUUCUUUCUGUUAUUUUUAUUGAAUGGAAGACAUAUAUAUUAUUGCUUUCAUUGAAAAUUUAUCUACCUACUUUAUGAAUUUUUCAGAUUUUGAAUGUAUAGAAUUAAAAAAAAAAAGAAAGCAAAACUCAAAUUAUUUAUACCAGUCAUUCUUGUGGCCUUGCUGUCAUAAAAAUUUGGGUACAAUUAUUGUACUUGGACCCGAAUAUAACCAAUCAAAAUGCUGGCUUUGGUGUUUUGAGCACACCUUUUGUACUCCGAGUACUGAGUUGAGUUUUUAGCUGAGGGCCCUGUUUGUCAGGAUUGAAUCACCAGAUAUUUCACUGUAAAAUUUACCAAAUUCUGUUGAAGCAUCAACAUAAUAAUGUGGUAUUUUUAUAGGAAAUCAUUUUGAUAUACAAAACUCCUAAAAUUAAGUUCAUUCUCUUAAUUAAAAUUUCAAAUUCAUGAAUAGAAUUUGCCAGGCUGUCACAUUUUCAUAAUAAUGCAUCUUCAUAAUGUGAAGAGCCCUGGUAAAUCCACAGAUGGGGCCUCCUUAACAUUGUUAUUGCCUUGUUUAAGUAUAAACACAAUUUCAUAAUACUUUCAUAUAAUAUAUGCUAAACAGUAUUUUUACAACAAGACAAAUGAAUUUAAAAAUUUUCAAGAGCUAUUCAAACAUUUGUUAGUUUUUUAAAGUAUUUUGAUCAGAGGAAACAGCUUGACUCGGGUGACCUAACGUUAGACUUCAAUACUGGAGUUUGAUGUCAAAAUUAAUAAAGUACUAACUCCUUAUAAGAAAAUUGGUUAGAGCAUAAAAAGCUUUUUGAUGCAAUCAGACAGUAUAACUAAUCAUUUCUAAAGCAUAAAAAUUGUGAUAAAUUGAAAUAUAAACAAGAUUUUUAAUGAUUUAUGAAAUAUUGAUUCCUUUUCUACAAAAGAGUUUCAUGCAUGCAUUAUUUAAGAUGAAGAGUUUCAUUUACUUAAAUGCAGAUGUUGAAACGAAAUAUCCCAAUCAAUUGUCAAUCUAUUUUCUUCUUUUGAACAUAUAAUAAAGUAAAUUGACAAUAUGGUACAAGUUUAUCAUUUUAAAGUUUUGCAUUGUUAAAUUUUAUAGAAACUAUUAAAUGUUGUAUUGUAUAGAUAACUCAGCCAUAGUAUACAUACAGUGUUAAUUAAAAUCUUCACAGUAAAAAGAUUUUUAUAGUAUUUAUUGUAAAAAAUAUAUAUAGGCCAGUUUUAAUGCAUUCAUUUUAUUUGGAUCAAACAACAUAAAAACUAUUUGGUAUUUAUUGAAGAAUUUAUUUUCUCCUAUGGUACCAGUAAGAUCCAGGUUUAUUACAGUGAUCAAAUUAAUAUCAUUUAUAAAAAUUUCAGAAAUAUUUACUUUUAACUUGUUUUGAAACUUAUAUAAAAUAGAAAGAGUACAUAAGUUUAAUUUCUACUAUUUUAGAAAUCUAAUUGUUUUAAAUUAGUUUAUGUCUCAUCCAAUCAGAAUUGUUGUUUAAUGGAAAGAGUUUUCUUAGGGUCUUCAUUUUUAAAGUCUAAAUUUUCCUUUAUAUAAUAAUUCUAUAUUUAAUGAGGCUCAUCAAGUUUAGAUUUGAGGUUGUUUUUUCUUCCAAUUCUAUAUAGUACUGUAUCUUGAUAAACCCGUUUUUGUCCAAAUAUUCCAAUAUGUCAUUUUUGAUCUUUUCACCUUAAAUUGUUGAAAUUGUUUUACUUUAUCUUUGGUCUUUUAUAGCAUAACUGUAAAUUCAGAAAUCAUUGCAGGCAUUUCUUAUUACUAUAUUGGAAUAAAAGACAAAAAUGAGAUUGAUUAUUGCAAUUUUUAGGAAAAUGUACAUACAGCUAGAUGUAUCUGAUAUCAGAAUGCAAGUAAUUAUUGAAAAAUUCACCCAGUCACAUUAUAAAAUAUUACCAUAUUUCUGAAUUUACAGUAGUUAAAGAGUCAUUGGAAAAGGAAUUUGAUCAAAGCAUUUUCAAGAAAUCUAAUUCUUACCACUCUAUAUUGGAAUUAUACAAUAAAUAAAGGAUGUAAUUUGCUACAAUAGUUGUCUUUAAGCUUCUUUAUGUCACUAUCAUCAAUUGAAUGAAUACACAUCUGUUAUAUUUAUAUCUCUUUAUACAUGACAUCGUGAGCAAAGUAAAUUAGUUUUGUAAUUAUUUUCGUCACUUGAAAGGUAUCAAAUCCUGAAACAAGGUAAAUUUAGACCUUUUCUUUCAUUUUGGAGGGAAAUCUAAAUCUAUAACAAGAAAAAAUUUAUUUGUGAAUCACAAAAACUAUGAGUAUGACGUAAAACUGCUUGAUCGGCUUGAUUUAUUUAUUAUUUCCUAACUUGAAAUAGAAAUAACAAUUAUGCAAUAUUCAUUAAUUUCCUUAAAGCAGGUUUUCCAAAUCCCUAUAUGGCUAUCUUGUUUUACCAAGAUGGUAACGUGAGACUUAGAAUAAGGAAUUGUGGACAUUGCCUUGUAAGACAGGAUAAUUGAACAGAAAUUGAUUUUGAGCAUUACAUCCACAACCUAACAAGGUGCCUGAUAAGUUAUACAUAAUUAUUUUCACUCAGAGACAGUUCUAAAUUGAAACUGUGAAAUUAUUCUGAUUGAUUGUUUUAUUUGAUUCUGUUUUUUUUGUUAGCUCACCUGGCCCGAAGGGCCAAGUGAGCUUUUCCCAUCACUUGGCGUCCGUCGUCCGUCGCGUCGUCCGUCGUCGUCGUCGUCGUCGUCGUCGUUCGUCGUUAACUUUUACAAAAAUCUUCUCCUCUGAACACUGGCCAAAUUAAUCAAACUUGGCCAAAUCAUCAUUGGGUAUCUAGUUUAAAAAAUGUGUGUCGUGACCCGGCCAACCAACCAAGAUGGCCGCCAUGGCUAAAAAUAGAACAUAGGGGUAAAAUGCAGUUUUUAGCUUAUAACUCAAAAACCAAAGCAUUUAGAGCAAAUCUGACAUGGGGUAAAAUUGUUUAUCAGGUCAAGAUCUUUCUGCCCUCAAAUUUUCAGAUGAAUCCGACAACCCAUUGUUGGGUUGCUGCCCCUGAAUUGGUAAUUUUAGGGAAUUUUUGCUGUUUUGGUUAUUAUCUUGAAUUUAAUUAUAGAAGAGAUACUGUAAACAGCAAUAAUGUUCAGCAAAGUUAGAUUUACAAAUAAGUCACAUGAACCAAAUGUCAAUUGACCCCUUUAGAAGUUAUUGACCUUUAUAGUCAAUUUUUAACCAUUUUUCGUAAAUCUUAGAAAUCUUUUACAAAAAUCUUCUCCUCUGAAACUACGUGCCAAAUUAAUCCAAACUUGGCCACAGUCAUCUUUGGGGUAUCUAGUUUAAAAAAUGUGUGGUCCGUGACCCGGCCAACCAACCAAGAUGGCCGCCAUGGCUAAAAAUAGAACAUAGGGGUAAAAUGCAGUUUUUGGCUUAUAACUCAAAAAUCAAAGCAUUUAGAGCAAAUCUGACGGGUUAAAAGUGUUUAUCAGGUCAAGAUCUAUCUGUCCUGAAAUUUUCAGAUGAAUCGGACAACCUGUUGUUGGGUUGCUGCCCCUGAAUUGGUAUUUUUAAGGAAAUUUUGCUGUUUUUGGUUAUUAUGUUGAAUAUUAUUAUAGAUAGAGAUAAACUGUUAACAGCAAUAAUGUUCAGCAAAGUAAGAUUUACAAAUACCUCAAUGCAAAGGAAAUGGUCAGCUGACCUCUUUAGGAGUUAUUGCCCUUUAUAGUCAAAUUUUAACCAUUUUUUCGUAAAUCUUAGUAUCUUUUACAAAAAUCUUUCUCCUCUGAACUACUGGGCCAAAUUAAACCAAACUUGGCCACAAUUAUCAUUGGGGUAUCUAGUUUAAAAAAAUGUGUGCGUGACCCGGCCAACCAACCAAGAUGGCCGCCAUGGCUAAAAAUUAGAAUAUAGGGGUAAAAUGCAGUUUUUGGCUUAUAACUCAAAACCAAAGCCUUAGAGCAAAUCUGACAUGGGGUAAAAUUGUUUAUCAGGUCAAGAUCUUUCUGCCCUCAAAUUUUCAGAUGAAUCCGACAACCCGUUGUUUGGUUACUGCCCCUGAAUUGGUAUCUUGAAUAUUAUUAUAGAUAGAGAUAAACUGUAAACAGCAAUAAUGUUCAGCAAAGUUUGAUUUACAAAUAAGUCAACAUGACCAAAAUAGUCAAUUGACUCCUUAAGGAGUUAUUGCCGUUUAUAGUUAAUUUUUAGCAUUUUCAUAAAUUUUUGUAAAUUUUUAGAAAAUAUUUUCCACUGUAAUUACUGGGCCAAGUUCAUUAUAGAUAAAGAUAAUUGUAGCAACAAGAAUGUUCAGUAAAGUAAGAUCUACAAACACAUCACCAUCACCAAAACACAAUUAUAUCAUGAAUUUAUCUGUGUCCAUUGUUUAAUAUGCACAUAGACCAAGGUGAGCGACACAGGCUCUUGAGAGCCUCUAGUUUUUUUUUAUACAGAUACCCUGACAAUUUUUUUCUUUCUCAUUCACGUCUCUAUAUGUUGUAACUUAUAAUUGCAAGUGUACAUCUCUUAGAUUAAACCAAUUUCUGAUAAAAGAAAAUCAAACCUCAGUUUAAGGGAAAAAGGUUUUGCAAUUUUUGUACAUAACAUAAUAGUUGAAAAUGUUACUCUACUUAACUAUUGUGUCUCCAAGAUUGGUAAUUUCUUAGUUGUUCAUUUUUUAUUUAUUUUUUGUUAAGGUUUACACAUUGUUGAAGAUUUAUAGUGGAAUUUUAAGUGUUAUCUCUGAGAAGAAUUUUUAUAGAUACUGCAGAUGGAAGUCUAGGUUCAGUUCUGAUUAGAUAUUCCUUUAGGUUGUUUUUCUAAAGGGUUCAGUAUUAUCUAUUAGCUGACUAAUUUAAUAGUAAUUAUUGUUUAAUCAGUUUUAUUUCUGCUAUUAUACAGUUUGCAUUUCUCUGUUGGAAUUUUUCAAAAAGGCAACUUUCUUAUUAAGCUUAAUAUGAAAAUAGAAAUCCUAAUUUUGCUGAUUUAAACUAACUUUAAAGUUUGUGCCAUUGGGUUAGUGUGGUUCUUCUACCUCUCAUCAUGCUCAUAUAACCUUGUUCAAGUUUUAACUUUUGUCUUUUAACAUUGACAUGAAGGUGAAUUUCAAUAAGACUGUGUCACAUAAUAGUUUGAUGGUCAUGUGAACUUGACCUUUGACCACAAGGUGAUAUUUUAUUACAGUUUUCUUGCUGGAACAUAAUCAGUAUGAUGUGUUGCUUACCAUGAUUGAUGACCUUGACCUUUGACAAUCAAGGUCAAAUAUUUAGUUUAUAUAUGUCCAUCCAAUAACCAUAGAUAUUCUAUGCCAUGGCAAGAUCUUUUCAGCGAACAAAGGAUUUGUCCGUUGGUGUCAUUGCCCACCCCUCUUUGACAAGGAAAACUAAUGCAAGGAGGUAAUAAAGGUCUACAGUUUUUAUACGACCGCAAAAAUUGAAAAUUUUUUGGUCGUACCGGUAUAUUGGUAUCACGUUGGCGUCUUCGUCGAAGACAUUUGUUUUCGCACUAUAACUUUAGAAUAAGUAAAUAAAAAUCUAUGAAAUUUAGGUUUAUGAUCUAGUUUUUUUUAGUUUGAUUUUAACAAAAAUUGUACUUAGAUUUUUUAUUUAUAUUGGCCUAUUGGCCCAACAGUUUUCAAGUUGGGUCAAAUCUGGGUCCAAAAUUAAACUUUGUUUGAUUUCAUUAAAAAUUGAAUAAUUGGGGUUCUUUGAUAUGCCAAAUCUAACUGUGUAUGUAGAUUCUUAAUUUUUGGUCCCGUUUUCAAAUUGGUCUACAUUAAGGUCCAAAGGUCCAAAAUUAAACUAAGUUUGAUUUUAACAAAAAUUGAAUUCUUGGUCUUCUUUGAUAUGCUGAAUCUGAACAUGUACUCAGAUUUUUGAUUGUGGGCCCAGUUUUCAAGUUGGUCCAAAUCAGGAUCCAAAAUUAUUAUAUUAAGAGUUGUGCAAUAGCAAGAAAUUUUCAAUUGCACAGUAUUCAGCAACAGCAAGAAACCUUCAAUUGCACAGUAUUGCACAAUAGCAAGAAAUUUUCAAUUGCACAGUAUUGUGCAAUAGCAAGAAAUCUUCAAUUGCACAGUUUUUAGAAAAAAAUUAGGUGGUUGGAGGGGGGGGUUCAAUUUCUCAUUUCAGAUUUCAUAGAUAAAAAGAAAAUUUCUUCAAACAUUUUUUUGAGAGGAUUAAUGUUCAACAGCAUAGUGAAUUGCUCAAAGGCAAAAAAAAAAUCUUAAUUUCAUUAGACCACAUUCAUUCUGUGUCAGAAACCUAUGCUGUGUCAACUAUUUAAUCACAAUCCAAAUUUAGAGCUGAAUCCAGCUUGAAUGUUGUGUCCAUACUUGCCCCAACUGUUCAGGGUUCAACCUCUGCGGUUGUAUAAAGCUGCACCCUGCGUAGCAUCUGGUUAUUUUUGCUGUCUUAUAUUGGUAUGACGUUGGCGUCGUUGUCGUCGUCCUCGUCGUCUGAAGACACAUUGGCUUUCGCACUAUAACUUUAGUUUAAGUGAAUAGAAAUCUAUGAAAUUUAAACACAAGGUUUAUGAUCACUAAAAGAAGGUUGGGAUUGAUUUUGGGAGUUUUGGUCCCAAUUAUACAGUUUAGGAAUUAAGGGCCAAAAAAGGGCCCAAAUAAGCAUUAUUCUUGGUUUUCGCACAAUAACUUUAGUAAAAGUAAAUAGAAAUCUAUGAAAUUUAAGCAUAAGGUUUAUAAAUACAAAAGGAAGGUUGGGAUUGAUUGUGGGAGUUGUGGUCCCAACAGUUUAGGAAUUAGGGGCCAAAAAGGGCCCAAAUAAACAUUUUUCAUGGUUUUCAAACCAUAACUUUAGUAUAAGUAAAUAGAAAUCUAUGAAAUUUAAACACAAGGUUUAUGACCAUAAAAGGAAGGUUGGGAUUGAUUUUGGGAGUUUCGGUCCCAACAGUUUAGGAAUUAGGGGCCCAAAGGGUCCAAAAUUAAACUUUGUUUGAUUUCAUCAAAAAUUGAAUAAUUGGGGUUCUUUGAUAUGCCAAAUGUAACUGUGUAUGUAGAUUCUUAAUUUUUGGUCCCAUUUUCAAAUUGAUCUACAUUAAUUAAGGUCCAAAGGAUCCAAAAUUAAACUUAGUUUGAUUUUAGCAAAAAUUGAAUUUUUGGGGUUCUUUGAUAUGCUGAAUCUAAACAUGUACUUAGAUUUUUGAUUAUGGGCCCAGUUUUCAAGUUGGUCCAAAUCAGGGUCCAAAAGCAAACUUUGUUUGAUUUCAACAAAAAUUGAAUCCUUGGGGUUCUUUGAUAUGCUGAAUCUAAACAUAUAUUAAGAUUUUUGCUCAUGGGGCCAGUUUUCAAGUUGGUCCAAAUCGUGGUCCAAAAUUAAACUAUGUUUGAUUUCAACAAAAAUUGAAUAUAUGGGGUUCUUUGAUAUAUGCUGAAUCUAACCAUGUAUUUAGAUUUUUGAUAUUUGGACCCGGUUAUCAAAUUGGUCCACAUUGAGGUUAAAGGGUCCAAAAUUGAACUUUAUUUGAUUCCAUAAAAAAUUGAAUUCUUGGGGUUCUUUGAUAUGCUGAAUCUAACCAUGUAUUUAGAUUUUGGAUAUUGGACCAUAAUAGGUAAAUGUCCAAUUUAGAAUUUUAAAGUUUUUAAAUUUAAGUUCUUAGACCACAUUCAUUCUGUGUCAGAAACCUAUGUUGUGUCAACUAUUUAAUCACAAUCCAAAUUCAGAGCUGUAUCAAGCUUGAAUGUUGUGUCCAGUAACUUGCCCCAACUGUUCAGGGUUCGAACUCUGCGGUCGUAUAAAGCUGAGCCCUGCGGAGAUCUGGUUAAAUAUUAUAAUAGUACAUGUAUAAUGUACUUCUAAAUUUCUUGAUGCUGGAGUAUUUCUGUUUGAUUGACAUAUUUUCUGUAUGAAUUAAUAAUGGAAAUAAACUUGAUGUACUAAGGAAAUAUUUUCUUACAUUCCAGUAUUUAUAAAUUAAGGAUUAUAAGCUUUUUCUUAAAUGUUCCUAAUUGAAUUUAUGUUUUUUUAAUUUGGAAAUGAUGAGUUGGAUUUCAAAGCUUAUUAUUUUUAUUUGCUAGUGUAUACUAUAAAAACAACUGGUUUGCUAUUUUUGCUUUGUUUAUAGAUGGAUCUGUUUCACACAAAAUUAGACAAAGACAAAAAGUCAAGUGAAAAUCUAGAUAAAAAGUUUACGGUAUGUGCUGUGGCAUUGCUCUACUAUUUAUCUCUGCAUGAUGAAAGCCUGCAAUAAUUUAAAUGAUUGAUCUGAGCAUGACUCUCUAAUUUGUUUGAAUUUCUAAUGCUUGUUUUGCUUUUUUCUUCUAUAUUGAUGCUGAGUUCACACAUAAUUUUAAUUCGAUUCGCAUUAACUAGUUCGAAUUAGUUUAAUUCGCAUUCGAAACGUUUUACAUCCUAACGUCAAUUCUAAUUCGAAUUGCAAUGCACGUCAAAUUCGCCAAAUUACUGUCCAAACAAUGUUAACUUUUAAUUCGUAUUAACAAAAGCAUAUUUCAAAUGCGAAUGGAUAAUUCGAAUUAGCCAAUUCAAAUCAAUUCGAAUUAAAAAAAAAGAGUGUGUGAAUGCGAUAAGCUAAUUCUAUACGCAUUCGAUUCGAAUUCAAUUCGAAUUAAAUGUUGGUGUGAAUGAGGCAUUAGUAUGAUAAUAAAAACCAACAAAAAUGUUAAUAUAAUGUGAAAGUGAGUGGGACAGUCAGUUUGAAAACAUUCUGUAUAAUUACAGUAGUAGAAAACUUAUCUUUCAUGAAGUAGGAAUUCUAACAGGUAGGUAUGAACUGAUUGUUACUGUUAGGAAAUGAUAACAUAGAGAAUGGCUCAAAUAAAUGAAGAUUCUAUCAUAGUUCUGUAUUUUAUGAUUUUUUUACACUCCAAAAUUCCAAAUAGCUAAAUUUGAAAUAAAAACUAUAGCAACUUGUUCUUGAGCAACCAUAUGUUGAUAAAUGAUGUUGGAUUUUGUGUUUAUUGAUUCUUUAAUCUCCACUGGCAAAUAAAACAGGCAUAUCAAGAAGAGAACAUGUUAAGGGUAUAAAUGUUAACCAUGCUUUAAGCUAGAUUCUAAUUUGACGUGCUUCUUUCGCUUUGUAAACCACACCGUGAUAAAAUUCUCCAUAUAUCUAUACUUAGCGCAGACUCAGAGAUAUACAUAAUAAUGGCUGUUACUAUACUUCCCACGUAAAUCCACAUGUAUUGGAACCUAUUUGCAAACUAUUUGCAGAUUUUUUGUUUAAAAAAUUGCAGUUAAAAAAAGACAAAAUAACUUUUAUUCUUAUUCGAUGCAUAAUAAAAAGAAUUAAUGCAUAAGAGCUCAGAGAAAUCAACAAAAUAAAACUAAAAUAAAAAUCCACGAAAGUCUUUUAAUGUUUUUGACGCAUUUAAGUCAUUUCAAAACAUUACAUCAUACAAAUGAAAACGCUACAGUUGAACGUUUUCUGAUACGUGAACCAUUGAAAUUCGUAUAAUAUUGUAUUAAAAUUGAUUUGUAAGGUAGAUUUUGUUUUGUUUUCUAUUCUAUUGCAUUUUUCGAAUAUUUACUGAUUUCAACAAGUCAACAUGGCGGUUCCUUAGUUACUAAAUGUCAACUUUGGAUUUGAUUGGUAGCUUACGAGAAAAAACAUGUGAAUUAAAAAUGGCAAAUGUUGGGUUUGAGAAUUUAAAGAAUUAAAGAAAUCUUUUUUCAAGCGGUUAUUCAUGAAACAAUCCAUGCAAGCUACAGAUUUUAUGAAUGUAUGAUGGGGUCAAACUGAAGGGUAUUUUCUGUCUAAAACUUUUUCAUACUAUUCUUUUUAUCAUCUAUAUGACUAAAUAGUUUUGCUAAUAAAACAUCUAAUGAGCAUACAAAAAAUUAUCUAAUAUUUGUAUUCAAAUGUCAAUUAUUUCUUAGAUAUAUGGUUUUAGCUGAAAUUUAAAUUUUAGUUGAUUUCCAAUCUGUUUUCUUUUUAAUUUUCAAUUAUCUUAGAUAAGAAUUAAUCGUAUAUCAAACUUGGUGAAAAUGUUUAUAAAUUGUCUUUGUCAGUAAUCAGCAAACGAUUUUACACAUUGUUUUAGAUUCAUGUUAAUCAUGUUGUGUCAGUUGUCUGUCUGUUGCAAACUUUUUUGUAUAUAAACAGCUUGGUAAAAGAGACCAAGCAUAGAGAGAAUGUUCCCCAGGGAAACCUCAUUACAACUUGUCAUUUUUUAUCUGCUUUGAAAUUGAACAUGAUGGCUGCCAAGGCUAAUAACAGGUUCUGAUUGGUUGGAUUUUAAGGAGAUCUAUUUGUCAGAAACUCAAAUUCAAUGGGACAGUUCAUCAGCCAAAAAAUCGAAAGCCUCCCAAUAAAAAACUUUCAAAAUACUUUAAAAAAAUUCGUCAUUAUAAAGAUGACCAAGCAAGACCCUCAUGGGUAAGUCAAAGUCGUUAAACGCCCUCUAAUGGUAACUUAAGGUUAUUCCUGCUGAAGAAAGUUAAUCAUCCUACAGAGUAAAACUUCUAUUCUAAUUACCUGACUGUGGUAAAACAGAACAGUUGUGUCGAUUUAUAUCAUUUUGAAUCUUAUUCUCUGAAGAUGAAACUCUUAUGUUGUAAUAUAAAUUACACCAAAUCUUUUGAAGUACUGUCAAAAUUAUUUAUAUUUUUAUAAUUUAUUGUAAUUUGCCUCUUGUUAGAACACUUACAAGUAAAUUACUAAAUUUCAGCUGCAUGUCAUAAAAACAGAAAAACCUACUUUACUAACAUGACAAAUAUUGGUAUCUAGAUUUUCUAUUUAUAUUGCUGAGUUUUCAACAAAGAUGUAUAGGUAUCUGUUAAAUGUUUGCAUUGCAACUCUAAAGUGUUACAACAGCAGUAAACAGUCAAUUUGAAAAAAUAACGAGCAACAGAUCAAUGAACUUUAAAAAACUACAGACAUAAAACCAUUUGGUCAUAGCAUCACAUAUCAUCAAGUCAUUUUACUCACCCUUAUCUCAAACUCUUUUAUCUCAAAAUUCCUGUUUUCUCAAAGUAAACAGCCUGUACCAAUAUAUAGAUUUGCAUUCUAUUUACUCUUUAAAACAUUAUAUCUCAAAAUUCCUGUUUCCUGGUAUGUUAGUCUGAUUAACUUUGAAAUAGAGAGUCCACUAGUACUGUAAAAGAAUAUUUAUAUAACAGAUAAAAUUGACUAAGAUUUAUAAAAUAUUUUUUUAGUAUGCAUAUGCAUGCACCUUCAAUAUUUAUGGUCCUUGAUCUUCACAAAUUGAUAGUAAAGUUUAUUGUUGUUAUCAACAGUGUGAACGAAAUUUAAGAGAAUUUUAUGCUAAAAAAAUUCAAUCUGACAAUAUGUGGGUGGAAUGAAGUAUAUAGCUGUUACUGUUCAAAUAUUGACUUAUAAUACUUACUUUUUAGUAAUACUAAAUAUCAAUCUGGAUUAUGAGGUCCUCAUAAGGUCAAGGCUGAAUUACUAUUUAGUGUAGUAAUGGUAACAGAUGCAAUAGUUAAAUAUUUGUUAAAAGCAGUUAUUUAUUGACAAAUUACACUCAAAACUAUUCAUGGCUUAAAUAAGCUGGUUUUCUUAUUAUGUUGUUUGUUUUAUUUAGAUUGUUACCAAAGGUUUGUUGAAAAUGAAAAUGUUUCGGUAAUACAGUAAUUGUCAUAAACUAAACUGAAGAUUCGGUAAAAAAUCAUUUAUUUGUUUAAAUAUGUUUCGAUUGAAAAUUCUUAGAAAUGGUUCCAGUUUAUGUUAAAUGCAAGUCUUUCUUAGAAUUUUAUUUGAAUUCUUGAUCCUUUACUACCAGUCAGUAGAUUUUUCGGAAAUACAACAUGUUGUUGGGUGAUAUUUUGAAAUCUUCAAGGGUCACCAUCUUUGUUUUGUGUACAUUAUAUUUAAAAUGGAUCCUAUCAUGAAAUAAAUUGAUCCAACAACAAAAUAUGCAUAAUUUUAUAGCUCUGUAAAGCUUAAAUCGAAAACUAGUAAAUCAUACCAAUUGAAUUUGAGUUACAGUAAGUUUAAGACAAAGUAUAUUUUUCAUCAAUUUUACAUGCAUUCUAUACAAAUGUAUACAAUUCAAAAUCUUGUGAAAAUCUGUAAUAGCUCAGGUUAAACGUAGAUUGACCGUAACAAGACUAAGAAAUGUUUUUGGCAGAGUUUAAACAUGGAUAAAGUAAUAAAAAGGGAAAAUUAGAACAUUUGAAAAUGUUAUGUUGUCGGUUGUUGUCUCUUUGACACAUUCCCCAUUUCCAUUCUCAAUUUUAAUGAUCAAAAGAACUAAUGAUUUUUUUGUGCAACAUUUUAAUAUAUGAUUAUGUCAGAACUCUGGCCGACUAUUCAUAACAGGAAAUGCUAAAAUCAUGUAAUAAUAUUUUUUUCAAUAAGAUAUAUUCAUUAACUAUGAGCUCUUAUUAUGUUUUCAUAUAAAGGAUUUAUAGCAUGGAAUAGAAGGAAAUUUUUAUGCGAAAAUGAAAUAUGAGCUUCCAUAAGAAAUUAAUACAUGUAUAAGGAAAUUUGAUUAAAUUUUACUGUUUUGCUUGACGUAAUCUUGGUAGUAUUAAGGUGAAAAAUGUUAUUUUCCUACGUCAAAUAUUUUUAUUUUACAAAAUUAAUUUCUUAAUCCUGAAAGUAAAGUUGACUUAUUAGAAUUAUUGGAAGCAAUUUAUUGUCCAUUUCUCCCACAAGCCAUUCUUAUUUCGUCAUUCAUAUGAUAUCGUUUGAAGACACUUUGACUUCUUAAAUGAAGCUGACAUUUUACAGUCCAAAUACGACCAAUUUAUAUACAAGGUAUAAAUGUAUAUUGCAUCCUUUGAGAGCUUAAGAUGAAUAUUUAUCUGUGUUGUUAAAUAUCCAUUGUUUCCGUUUAAAAGUAAUUCUGAAUCCCACAAGGUAUUUUUACUGUUAUUGAUGACGCCAUUCACACAAAGCAACAACCCUUUACUUUAAUGUAAACCAUGUAAAAAGGAAUUUGAUUAUUCAGAUUUAAAAAAGAGUGUUUAUGACAUGAAAGGUUAACUUCCAUAUAAUACAGUCAAUGCUUAAUACUUUUGUUGUCAGAAAUGUUUUUAUAAAAAGAUUAUUGUUAAAGUAAUGACAGAACCAUCCCAAAUUGUUACACAUUUGAAACAUGCUAAAUUUGUUAAGACCAAAUUGCCUUUCUUUGAUAAAGCUUCAUUUGGAAAACUUAAAACCAUAAUAUUAUUCAACAUUACUGCUUGAUUAAAGUUGUAGGAAUGGCCGUGGCUUAGGGGUUGUCUGAGUGCUAAAUAUAAGUACCGUAACAAAAUUCACUGUGAGCAGUUGUUCGAAGAUUUCAAAAAUAGUUUAAUUCACUCCACCAAUCCUUCUUAAUUUUUUUUUUAAAUAUUUCUAAUAGAAAAUUAACUUCAAUUCUCAUCAGCUAACAACUAUAUCUGUUGUUUCUUAAGGGGUAAAACUGACAAUAUGUUUUUAAUGGCUGUAAAGUUUGGUAUAUAUUUGAUGUGGUUGUAAUAAUGAGAAGAUGUAGAAUAUUAAGAAUUUUUUUUUUUUAGUCAUUUUGAUCAAAUUAUGUAAAAAAAGCAGUUCUAGGAAGAAAGUCACUACCUCUUCCUGGCUGGUGCUUGAUAUUUACUCUUAGAAUGUAAAAACGGUAGAAGAUAUAAUGGUGUAAUCAAAAACAAUGAAAGUAAAACACAACAUUCCAAAAGAUGAUUAAAAAAGACAGGCUAACAACAGUCCAUUAAACACUUACAAUGGAAAACAAAAGAUUAAUAAAAAUAAACUCCGCCUAAAAUCAGGGGUUGAAUAAGGUGCCUCACUGUGAACGUCAGAUGAAGAACAGCAAUAUAAGUGUUGUUUCUUCAUUUUUUGUGGGUUUUUUGCUGUGCAUGAACUGAUUUUGUGUCAUUGAAACUCCAUAACCUUUGUUUUUCUUAAAACUAUCUUUUGUCAUAGCAUGGUAUUAUUUAUUUAUUACAUGUUAAGAAUGAAAUAUCCUUCAUAUAAAUGGAAAUAUAAAUUAGUUGCAUGUUUAAAAGACAAAACUAUAUACAGACUUUUGAAGUUUUGGAAAGAAAUUUGGCUCAGUUGAUUUGAAAUAAUCUUUGACAGUUAAAAGGAACAUAGUUUUAUCCAACAUAAGAGCCCUUGCACUAAAGUUUCUUAAUGUAGCAUGUUAAUGGGCUGCAACAUGUGUCACUAAAUAUUUUUACACAUAUAUCCUAUCUUUCAUGUAAAGCAUGCUAUUUUACAUGCAUGCUUAUCUGUUAAUUCAUUGCUUAACUAUGAUUUACGUUGCAUGCUCUUGUGAUUGCAUAUCUUUAUGUGUCUGUACUUGAAUCUAAUUUUGAAAGAGGUAAGGAAAAACAAAUUCAUCAUGUAUGAAACUUAUAUUUUUAGGUCUGAUUUUUAACACCUUUACUGACAAAAGGACUUUGAUUUAAUUGUAUUUACGUUUAAUUUGUAAUUAAUGCUUUAUGUAUCCUGUAUCAACAUCAACAGCUAUUGAUCUCAUGGUCAUUAAUUUGUUUAUUUUAUUCCAUUAGGAAUGGUUUUAUCAUCAGUAUUUUUAUCAGUUUGCACUGCACUGUGUUAGCAUGAAUGUAUGUUUGUAUGCUUAGUGAGCUUUCAAUUUUAUAUUUCAGGCAAAAAACAGAGAUUUUCAUCUAAAACGCAAAGUGGUGAAUGUUUAUAGUAGAGUAAUAUGCACAUAUUUGUACUUGUAUGGAUUGGUUUCACAAUAUUAUUUUAGUACCAUCACUUAACAAAUGCAUCAUUUUAUAUUUUUAUAUCUACAUCUGACACCUGAACAGUACUUUAACAUGUUGUAUAGAACAACUUACUGAACCGUAUGCAGUGGGAGGGGGUGGUUACAAUUUGGAAGAACCUUACAUUUAGGUCCUAAUAAUUUAACAGAGGCAGAUUUAGGGGGGCCCAGGGGGCCAUUUUCUGGGAAAAAUUUGGUUGCUAAUAUAGGGAAUCUGAAGCAUGACUGGAGCGGGCCCCCUUUUUAGGCAGUCAACGGGCCCCUACUUAUCAAAAUUUCUGGAUCCGCCACUGUUUAAGAUUCAUGAACAAAAUUUCAAGCCACUGUUUAAUUAUAACAUGUAUUUCAUUUUCAGUUCACUAUACAAUUUUUGUAUCUAUUGCAUGUUUUGAACAAGUACAUGUGGUUUUGUCUCUAAAGGAGGUACAAUUUUAUUUGAUAAGCACUUGAAAGGCAUAAGAAUUCAGUUAGAAAUGAGAAAAUAAAUUUGUUAAGGUUAAAAUAUCAUCUUUUUUCAAUUAAGGGACUAACUAAUAAUCAUGCAGGGUAAUUGCUAUAAUCUAUUACAAAUGGUGUUUUUUCAGAAACCUUUUAGCAAAAUUGUCUAGUGAUCUAUUUUUUAUGAAAAAAUAAACAUCUUUCUGAAUUUUUUUUUACAAACAUUAAUCUUGAAUAUGGGUGAUGAUGCUAGAAAGACAUAAAACAUUAAGAAAAUUAAUUACAAAAAGCACUCCAGUGAAUAUUCUUUUAAAACUUGAUAACAGUGUUUUCCAAUUUAACUAACCUGAAAGCCUUUGAAUUUCUAUCAUAUGUAUAACCAUUCUGAAAUUAAUAAUAAUAUAGUAUUCAGGUGAAGAUCCUCUAUACAAUUAGCUGACAAUUUCUGCUUAUGUAUUAGUGCUGAUAUCUGUUACACAUCUGAAUAUCAAAUAUAAUUAUUUAAGUCUUAAUUCUGUAUUAAUUACUGGAAGUCGGCUCAGUUUUAUAUUGUAUUGUCAUAUUUUGAUAUGCUCACUUCAAAGGAGGGGUAUACGUUUUUACCCUCAUCUGUAUGUCUGGGUAAUCCAUGCAUUUUCAGAUCAUCCCAUAUCAACUUCCUGUUAAACAAAUAAUUUACACAAGGUAGGCAUAAGCUCACAGUCCCCCCUUUUUUAGAACAUGGUGUGAACUCUGCAACAGUAAAUAAAUUCUAAGUUAACUAAAUACAUGACUGCAGAUUAACUAAUUCUUGUCUAUAAAAGUAGGGAUAAAGUUUGGCUUUACAUAAAAUCUCAAUGCAUGCCUUUGUAGUGUAUUUUUCCAAUGUAACAUAUGAUAAAAAUUUGUCAGCAUUUUCCUACUAGCCACUGAUAUUGUGAAACCAAUCGUCAUAACUGCACAAUAACAGAGCUCACAGACUCCUCUUCAUUAUAAUCUUUUUUGUAGAUGCACUAUUCUCACUUCUUACACAGUACAUUGAACAGUAAACUAAGUCUUAUACUAUUUGAUUGUUCAAUAUAAAUUCUAUUCUCCCAUGUCUACUAGUGGAUCAUAAUAUUCUUUAUUGUUAAUCAUCCAAAUUUUGGUACAUAAAACAUUAUACUAAGUCUUGAUUGUACAAUAUAAAUCCUUUUCCCCAAUAAAGGUCUUAGUGGAUCAUAACUCAUUUUUCGUGUCCGUGAACAAGGUGAUCUGUUUUUAUUGUUUUUUAUCCAUCCAUAAUGUUACCGAGGCUUUCAAGUAAUGACAUGAUUUAAAUAUCUGAUUUAAAAUUUUCCUAUGAAAUUUGUGAGGUGUAAACAUUGAUGAGACAAUUGACCAAAGUUACUCAAAACUCAUAGGACUAUAUAUAAUUGAGAUAUACUAAGACUGAACACCUUGCUGUGUUGAAGACCAUUUGUGGCCUUCUGCUGUGUUCUUCUGCCCUUUGGUCCAGUUGUUGUCUCUUUGACACGUUCCCUAUGUCCAUUCUCAAUUUUAUUCGUCAGGGGACUCUAACAAUAAACUUGUCAUUUAGUUAGUCGUAGAUAAUUAACCCUUUGGCUUUCCAUACUUUUGAUCUUGAAUGUACCUGAAGAAGGUUAUUCCAGAAGUGUGUCCUGGGCAGUGAACUUGGUAUCAUUCAUUUAUAUUGUAAUGCUAGUUUAAUAAAGCUUUCGUCUCAUGUGCCCAUUAUUUUGGAUUCUUUCAAUUUAGUGGCCAUUCAUGGAUAAAAAUGACACUUAACUUUGAAUUAAGUAUCAAUUUGUAAAGAUUUUCAGAUAUAGUUAGAAAAUAAGGAAGUUACAGCAAGAUAGGACAAUAAGGACAUAUAGUUAGAUUGGAUAAUAAGGACAUAUUAUUCAAAACCCUCUAGAAAUCAUUAAAAGACAAUUUUAGCUACAGUUUGAAAGGAUUCUUCCUAUUCUGAUAUUUUAUCCAUUGAAAAACAUCUGAAAUGCUUCCUGAUUUCAUGUGAAUUUAAAUGUUAUAAUGCUUUGCUGGCUUCGUACUUGACUUCCAAUUUCCCGUUUACUCUGUUAUCGUAGAUGCUUGUUAUACUUUUAUGCUGAAGAACACUGUGCUUAUCUGAAAUAGGCAUAAUGAUGAUUAGGAAUUGUUUAGUGUAACCCAGACAUAUGGUUGUUAAGUAUAAUGGCUGACUGUCAGUGUCUGAUAGGUAAACACAGAGAAAUUGUAAACUCUUUUAUCACAAAAAUAUUUUAGAUAUUUCCAAAUAAAGCUAAUUAUCGGCAUUAAAUUUCAGACAUUGAUAGGCACUCUGCCUGUUCUGUACUGUUUGUAUAACUAUCAAAAACAGUUAAAUCAUUAUUCAUAUUGAAGGAAAGUUUGAAUGCAAACAAAUGACAAUGGAACUAUGAAAUAUCAUAUAGAUGAUGGCAACUUGCACUCUGUGUCUUUAUCUAGAGGACUAUUUUGCCUCUCAGACAUAACAUAACUUAAUUAUAUUCUCUCAUUAACUGAUUUCUUCUCUUUUGUCAAAUCAUAUUAAAAUCUGUUGCAAUUUAUGAUAUUUAGCUUCAUUUAUUGCAAAUCCAAGUUGACAAGAUAGUGUGCAUCCAGACUUUUUGUCUUGCAUGUUAUCACAAACUUUUAUUUAGGUGGGGGAUGUAAAAUAUGGAAGUUUAUAAGAAUUAUGGAGUAACGGUAAAAGAAAGACCUUACAAAUAUAGCGUUGAAGCAACUGACACCAUAUUUAUAACAGCGUACCCUUAUUGAUUUCUAAACUAAUAAACUUGCUUAUUCAGUAGAUGCAAGAAACAUGUUAGCUUUAAUAUUUGGCAAAGAUAUCAUGAAAGAUAUCAUGUAUUAAUUAGUAGUAAUAAUAAGAAUAUAUUCUGGUUCAUAGUUUUUAUUUGCAAAAGGAUUUAAGAAAAUAUAUCUGAAGUUUUUGUUGUAAUUUUGGCAGUCAUUUUCAUUUCUCGUUUCUGCAUUCUGCAUCAUUAAAGUUUAAGAUGAUUCAUGCUUAUUAAUGUCAGCAUAUAGUUUUUUAGUAAACCUCAUCAGAUUCAUUCAGGCAUUGGUACAUUAACGAUACUAAAUUUGCUCUUUUACAUGUAAUAUAUAUGAUUUGAAUGGAACAGUUUGUGUUCUAUCAUUGGAACUUCAUUUUUUUAAACAAUUAUAAUUAGGUAAAAGUUUAUUUUCAAGAACUGUAAUAUAAUUGCACAAUGUAGUUUACAAGAGCAACUUAAUUGUGUUUUCAUAAUUAAGUCUUUUUAGAAUGAUAAUUAAUUCCAAAAUGUAUAUUUGAGGGAAUGCACUAUUAAUGUCUUUUAAAGGGGAGGUAACAAGUUAAUUGAACACUUCUAAUGAAAGGAACAACAAAAGUUACAUAGCUAGAUAAUUGAUGAUUUGUUAAAUUCUGUAAACAUGUUCUUGUGUUAAAUUUUUAAACUGUGAACUAUAUAUAUCAACUUUUUACUACAAGUUUAAACUUUGUACUACAUGUAUAAACUUUGUACUACAUGUAUAAACUUUGUGCUACAUGUAUUAAAUUUGUACUACAUGUAUCAAUUGUGUACUGCAUGUUUAAACUUUUAAUUACAUGCAAUAAUUCCUACGUUUAAAGAUUUGGUAAGAUGGAAAAGGGCAUGAAAGAGUCUUAAUGCAUAAGAAAGGAAAAAAGCUUUUAUAUAGGAAACCUUCCAAGAAAUGCAGCUUGAUGUAGCAGUGCACUUUGUUUAUUACAUUUCAAGAUUCACUUAUUUUAUAGUCAUAUUAGUCUUACUUCUUUCAAUUUAAAUAAAAUAUCUCAUGAAAAGAUACAAUUUGUAUGGUUGAUGGAACAUAUAUUUCAUGUAGUUUUUUAUAGUUGCUUUUCCUAUCUGAUUGUAGAUGAUAGGAGGAUGUUAUGGUUUUAAACAUUAUUAUGAUCGUAUCAUCAUUAUUUGAUUUAAUACACAAUAUUUUUUUAGAGAGAACUGAAAUAUUACAAAAUUACACUUAUUACUUGAGCAUUAAAAUCAGUCUCCCGUCAUAUAUUAUAAAAUCAUUAUUUUUGGAUACCAAUUUUCAUGGAUUUAGAAAACCUUCUUUUUUAUGCCCCACCUUCUAUAGUAGAGGGGCAUUAUGUUUUAUGGUCUGUGCGUCCGUUCGUGUGUGCGUCCGUUCGUGUGUGCGUCCGUUCGUAUGUGCAUCUGUUUGUCUGUGCGUCCGUUUGUCUGUGCGUCCGUCCUCCGUGCCAAAUUAGAGUUUUUACCCCAAUUUCACGGUCCACUAAACAUAGAAAUUACUAGUGCGAGUUGGGGCAUCCAUGUACUAUGGACACAUUCUUGUUUGUGAAUGUUUGAUUUCAGGGUUUUCCAAAGUCUACAUGAAAGCAAUUAUUAUUGAAAAUUGAUUUUUCAUUGAUCAUUUAAAUUCUUGAUUUAACUGUACCCACAAAAAUCCCUCAUGUUAUAAUGAAUCCACCAUAGAUGUGUUUUUUCAGACUUGUUUUUUUAUCAAAUGUUCCACUUAUUUUAAGUUAAAGCUUAAUAUGCUGUCUGUCCUGAUGACCUUCAAACUAUUUUUUUGAAAGAAUAUGUCAAUCCUAGUCUGUAGCAGUGUGAUGUACAAUUAUUUCAUUGUCCUAUUUAUCAUAGAAAAAUAUUUUAGGUUCAUUCGUAACCAUAAAAUAACCUGUCAAUAACAUAGAACUUGUCUGUCUUUUCCAGGGUAGUUUUUGUCAAGUGUUUGAUUUAGAACAUACAGACUUUGACAAUAGUGAUACCUUCAAUAGAGAAUGG
rnacentral:lncRNA from 1 species